ACAACAACUGCAGCAUCUUUGAAUGUGACGUCUCACGGCUGCAGACGACCAAAAGAUACCAAACUGUCCAUUUACAUUGAAGAGAAGAAGCAGUGUGAAGAGAGCAGAAAGAGUCACAUGUUGAUCACAUGUUCAUCCUCAGUUUACUGUCAGUCUUUGUGAUCACAGAUAUUAAAGCAGCUUUUCUCUGUUGUGGAACAAAGUGAAUGUAAAACAGGACACAUGUCUCCUGAAACGUCCAAUGAUGAGUCCACACAACAGCGUCAGCAGUAGGAAAGGAGAGAGGCCCAAAGUGUGUUAGUGUUGUGUUGGGGCUGUGAAUGAGCCCUGUCACUGUGAUCAGCUUCCUCCUUCUAAUCCACCAACUCAGUGUUGAUGAAGACUACACAGAGAGAUCACAGCCUUCUUUAGACUCAACACUGCACACAUGACGCCUCUGUUCAUCUCAGUGCUGCUGGCUGCUACGAGCCUCGAAUGCAGAGCGCAAAAAGACAACGUGCUGCAACCAGAAGGAGAUGAGACUGCUGCUGAAGGAGAGGCAGUAACACUUGGCUGUCAAUAUAACAGCACUUCAUCUAAUCACUAUCUGUUCUGGUACAAACAGGAUGGAAACAACAGCCCCAAAUUCAUCCUGAGCCGCUUUACAGUCGGCUCGGGGAAAACAGAGGACCAGGAGAGAUUUUCAUCCACACUGAAUUCAGCCUUAAGAUCAGUUCCUCUGAGGAUCCAGAAGCUUCAGCUGUCAGACUCUGCUGUGUACUACUGUGCUCUGCAGCCCACAGUGACAGGAAACACCAAAACUCUGUACAAAAACCUUUGGAGCAAAGACAACACAAUACUCCACAACGUCCACUAG